UACGGAGGGGGCUAGCGUUGCUCGGAAUUACUGGGCGUAAAGCGCACGUAGGCGGCUUUGUAAGUCAGAGGUGAAAGCCCGGAGCUUAACUCCGGAAUUGCCUUUGAGAUUGCAUCGCUUGAAUCCGGGAGAGGUGAGUGGAAUUCCGAGUGUAGAGGUGAAAUUCGUAGAUAUUCGGAAGAACACCAGUGGCGAAGGCGGCUCACUGGACCGGUAUUGACGCUGAGGUGCGAAAGCGUGGGGAGCAAACAGG
rnacentral:rRNA from 1 species